CUCGUCCGCUCUGGGUUAGUCGGGUCCUAAGCUGAGGCCGACAGGCGUAGGCGAUGGAUAACAGGUUGAUAUUCCUGUACCACCUAUAAUCGUUUUAAUCGAUGGGGGGACGCAGUAGGAUAGGCGAAGCGUGCGAUUGGAUUGCACGUCUAAGCAGUAAGGCUGAGUAUUAGGCAAAUCCGGUACUCGUUAAGGCUGAGCUGUGAUGGGGAGAAGACAUUGUGUCUUCGAGUCGUUGAUUUCACACUGCCGAGAAAAGCCUCUAGAUAGAAAAUAGGUGCCCGUACCGCAAACCGACACAGGUAGUCAAGAUGAGAAUUCUAAGGUGAGCGAGCGAACUCUCGUUAAGGAACUCGGCAAAAUGACCCCGUAACUUCGGGAGAAGGGGUGCUCUUUAGGGUUAACGCCCAGAAGAGCCGCAGUGAAUAGGCCCAAGCGACUGUUUAUCAAAAACACAGGUCUCUGCUAAACCGUAAGGUGAUGUAUAGGGGCUGACGCCUGCCCGGUGCUGGAAGGUUAAGAGGAGUGGUUAGCUUCUGCGAAGCUACGAAUCGAAGCCCCAGUAAACGGCGGCCGUAACUAUAACGGUCCUAAGGUAGCGAAAUUCCUUGUCGGGUAAGUUCCGACCCGCACGAAAGGCGUAACGAUUUGGGCACUGUCUCAACGAGAGACUCGGUGAAAUCAUAGUACCUGUGAAGAUGCAGGUUACCCGCGACAGGACGGAAAGACCCCGUGGAGCUUUACUGUAGCCUGAUAUUGAAAUUCGGCACAGCUUGUACAGGAUAGGUAGGAGCCUUUGAAACGUGAGCGCUAGCUUACGUGGAGGCGCUGGUGGGAUACUACCCUAGCUGUGUUGGCUUUCUAACCCGCACCACUUAUCGUGGUGGGAGACAGUGUCAGGCGGGCAGUUUGACUGGGGCGGUCGCCUCCUAAAAGGUAACGGAGGCGCUCAAAGGUUCCCUCAGAAUGGUUGGAAAUCAUUCAUAGAGUGUAAAGGCAUAAGGGAGCUUGACUGCGAGACCUACAAGUCGAGCAGGGUCGAAAGACGGACUUAGUGAUCCGGUGGUUCCGCAUGGAAGGGCCAUCGCUCAACGGAUAAAAGCUACCCCGGGGAUAACAGGCUUAUCUCCCCCAAGAGUUCACAUCGACGGGGAGGUUUGGCACCUCGAUGUCGGCUCAUCGCAUCCUGGGGCUGUAGUCGGUCCCAAGGGUUGGGCUGUUCGCCCAUUAAAGCGGUACGCGAGCUGGGUUCAGAACGUCGUGAGACAGUUCGGUCCCUAUCCGUCGUGGGCGUAGGAAAUUUGAGAGGAGCUGUCCUUAGUACGAGAGGACCGGGAUGGACAUACCUCUGGUGUACCAGUUGUCGUGCCAACGGCAUAGCUGGGUAGCUAUGUGUGGACGGGAUAAGUGCUGAAAGCAUCUAAGCAUGAAGCCCCCCUCAAGAUGAGAUUUCCCAACUUCGGUUAUAAGAUCCCUCAAAGAUGAUGAGGUUAAUAGGUUCGAGGUGGAAGCAUGGUGACAUGUGGAGCUGACGAAUACUAAUCGAUCGAAGACUUAAUCAA
rnacentral:rRNA from 1 species